GGUUGCAGCCUCAGCACAUCAGAGGGAGAGUCAGUCAAGAUGCAUGCAAUGAAUUAUUACAUUUCUCUCUCCAAAAGCUGGGAGUUUCUCACCCAACAACUUCAUCACCUAUGUGGCACACUGGUAAAGAAUCCUCCUGCCUGUGCAAAAGACGCAGUUUUGAUUCCUGGGUCGGGAAGAUCCCCUGAAGGAAAUGGCAACCCACUCCAGUAUCCUUGCUUGGAAAAUUCCAUGGACAGAGGAGCCUGGUGGACUACAGUCCAUGGGGUCACAAGAGCCGGACACAACUGAGUGACUUGCACUUUCACUAGAUAGCAAGGCUGGCUUCUUUGGCAGCCCCCUUAAUAGUGGAUGACCUCUUCCGCAAAGCACCAUGUUCAACUAUCCACUUUGUUUUUGUCUGAUUUCCUUUGGCAGUAAGCU
ensembl:lncRNA